rnacentral:lncRNA from 1 species
CUCCCUCUCUCCCUCCCUUCCUACUAAAAACCAAUAAGGCUAGGGAGCCUAUCUGCAUAGUUCUGUGAAUGUCUCGGAACAAAGCAAUACACAGAAGCUAAUGCUCUCAUCCUGUGUAAGAUACAAAUCUUGUCACAUCAUGGACCAUCGUGGAGCAUGAAGCUAUUUCUAAUGUGAUGGGGGAAAUGUUUCUAGCAGAAGAGCAAGACAUGGUCCUGGUGCAUGAAAGGAGCCUAAGAAAGAAGAGUGAAAGCUGCACGUGUUCUACCUCCAGAAAGCCAUAAAAGAGAAAAGAAUGUUGUACCAAACUAAGCAAAUGAAGCAUGAAAUGAAAAGCCGGUUGAGCUGGGAGGUAUAAAGAAUGGAAAGGAAGCAGCUACCACCCCUGGUAACCCCAUCAAUCCGGAGAAGCUUCGCAGAGUUACACUGUGCUCUGUCGGGAAGGAAAUGAAUUUUCCUCAUUGUACACAUUCCGAGAAAAAUGAGGCUAAGACUAUUUCAAAGGAUGUUCUACCUAAUUCGAAUGGGCUUUAAGUGCCAUCUUCACAAUAGCGCCAGAGUCUGGUGUCAGCAAACUGAACAAAUAGAGCUACAGGGAGCGAAUGGGGCUGGGUGCCUCUCCAAAACAUAUGCAGAUGAACUUGAGAUUUCAGAGGACGGUUAAUCCUACACAGCAGUCAAGUGCCUUCCCAGGGAGCAUCCUGGCAGGCAUCCACUGUGCCAUAUGCUUUCGGGAAGUCUGGAUGCUGAAUGUGGUGGCUGUGGGGAAUUGAGCCUUAUUGCUUCAUAAGAUUCCUGGUGGUAGAACUAUUCUGAACAAGAACACGUCCGUCCCCAUAGGUGUGCUCCAAGAAUCACAGAAUAAGAAGGGACUUCGGAGAGAGCCUCACACAGUUGGGCAAUGGGAGCCCAGAGAGGCAAGGAAGGCUCCUUGCCCAAAGUCUUGUACAUCUGAAUCUGCAACUCCUGACUAUUUUUGAGUCUUAUGCUCCAGGCUAAAACUUGUGACUUUAAGUGUGAUGUUCUCGGUGAUGAUUAAUCUAGGAUGUUUCUGUUGUUUUCUUACCGUCAAAGAAUUAACAUCAAAAGGAAAGGAAGGAAGAAAUGUAGAAGUGAAGGCAAGAAGGAAGGAAGGAGGAAAGGAAGGAAGGAAAAUAUAGGCUUUGGGUAAAAAUAAGUUUCUACUCAACACUGACAAAGGUACAGGUUUUGGACAUUGGUUUCCUAAUCUGUAAAUGAGGAAUAGUCAUCACAUCGCUGUCCUGGCUGGUUUUGUGUGUCAACUUGACACAAGCUGGAGUUAUCACAGAGAAAGGAAAGAAAAUGCCUCCAUGAGAUCUAGCUGUAAAUGGAUUAGUGAUCAAGAGUGGGAGGGCCCAGUGUGGGUGGUGCCAUCCCUGGACUGGUGGUCCUGGGUUCUACAAGAAAACAAGCUGAGCAAGCCAGGGGAAGCAAGCCAGGGGAACAUCCCUCCACGGCUCUGCAUCAGCUCCUGCUUCCUGCCCUGUGUGAGUUCCAGUCCUGACUUCCUUUGGUGACGAACAGCAAUGUGAUAGUAUAAGCUGAAUAAACCCUUUCCUCCCCAAC